AUGAUUUGGCAGCAUAUAUACUAAAAUUGGAAUUAUACAGAGAAGGUUAGCAUGGUCCUGCACAAGGAUGAAACCAAAUUCAUGAAGCAUUCCACAUUUAA
ensembl:snRNA U6 U6 spliceosomal RNA